GACAGAGGCCUCAAGCGUUAGGCGGAAUCACUGGGCUUAAAGCGUGUGUAGGCGGAUCGUUAAGUGCCUUGUGAAAUCCCACGGCUUAACUGUGGAACGGCUGGGCAUACUGGCGGUCUUGAGCCAUCUAGGGGCGACUGGAACAAACGGUGGAGCGGUGAAAUGCGUAGAUAUCAAGAGGAAUACCUGAGGUGAAGACGGGUUGCUAGGCCGACACUGACGCUGAAGCGCGAAAGCCAGGGGAGCAAACGGG
rnacentral:rRNA from 1 species